UCGCUAAGUCCUGCCACGAGUGGCGUUCCCGACGAAAGGAGGGAUUGUGGCGCCGUGGAGGGUGACAGUCCCGUGUGGACGCGUGCGAUUGCUGUGCGAGGGUAAGGCCUUCCUCCCUGUGAGUCGCGUUGCUUGCACAUGCAGCGGUAAGCAGGUCGUAAACUCGAUCUAAGGCUAAAUACAUYCACAGAACCGAUAGCGAACAAGUACCGUAAGGGAAAGUUGAAAAGAACUCUGGAGAGAGAGUCAAAAGACCGUGAAACCGCUCAGAGUAUAAGCCGAUGGCGCUAGAAGGCAACCGGUGGCACGGCGGUCUUGGUUUCGACUGGGGUCGCCCGAAAUGCCUGAGAAUUGGGUAGUUGGAGGAGUAGCAUUGGGUUGCUCAUAUCCAUCAGGCGAGCCUGUUCAUGGGUGAACACAAGUGGUGUCGUUCUGCUGGCGGGCUCGUUGCUGGACGAUUCUCUCGAGGCAUCACACGGUUAUUGCCCACCACAGCUCGUUGCUUGGUCACCCGCUGGCUCUAGGUGUGCAGAGGCUUCAUCCAGGAUCCGGGUAAUUUUCGAGGCGCGUGGAUGGGCGUGUUGUUAUGUCGGCCUUGACUUGCGCUGACACACGCACGCUCGCGCUGUGCUCGCGCCAUCCUGGCUCUGACUGCCGACUUAGAGGUGGUGUGAUCCACUCGGCGACGAUGCUGCAAUUGGCCAGACAUAUGCAGCCCUCAGCUUCGCCACCAUGUGCCGGUGGCGGAGUACCCGCGGGCAGGCUGCAUGCGUCACAUGCGAAGUAAACGCUCAGCCUGGGGGCUGGUCUGAUUGGAGAUGCUCUGGCGACCAUCGGUCACGUCUCGAAACACGGGCCAAGGAGUAUAGCAUGUGUGCAAGUCUAAGGGUCUCACAAAACUCGAGGGC
rnacentral:rRNA from 1 species